UGCGUCUCUGUCUCCUGGCGCUCCGGCUUCGAGUCUACGGGGCCCUUCCUGCGGAGAAUCAGGAAAGAGCGCUGAGGCCGCGGCCUCGCCCUGGGCAGCCCGGAGGGGCUCCAGCCCAGCCCUGGCGGACAGUCGCCUCAGAGAAGCCCCAGCUUAGGCUGCAGACACGUCUAAUGAGCACACAGCACGGCACACGCGCACACACCACGGGGCACAACCCGACAACAGCGGACAAGGAGAGGCCGUACUCGGUCUGGGCCGGUGCAGGCGGAACCGAGCUGUCUGCAGUGGGAGGAGCGAGUGCAGGCGCCUGUCCACUGGCCCCAGCGGCAGGAGCAGGAGAGCCCAGGGCUGCAAAAACAUCCUUUGCAAGGAACAUUCCAGAGGGUCCUGACAUUGGAGCACAUGGGCUUCCUGCUGUCCUCCUUUGUUGCACCCAGAAAGACAAACGAAGCCCACCUGCUUUGGAGACAUGGAGGCCUCCCGGGACCGGUGGGCAAGCGAGCGGUCCGGCAGCCCAGGUACAGACGCAUGGGGGGCUCUGUUCUGACUGCCCCAGGGUCCCAGCUCGGGUACCACAGAGCUUCCUCAGUGCCAGCCCUGCCCCACUGGCCUUACUGCAAACUUCAGGGCCGAGCGCAGCCCAGCAUGCCAGAGAUGCCCAAGCAUGCCCGGAUUCCCAGCACCAGGGCACCAGGCCACAGCUGGGCUGAGCUGGUGAUGAUCCCGAGCUCUCGGGUGUUUCUGGCUCCGGGGUCCUUGGUCUUGUUUCCCAGCCUUUCUCCCUCGGGCUCUGGCUGGUCCCAGCCGACCCCGCACUGGGGACCCCAGCCCAUUCCCCAGGAAGGCCAGAGACCAGCAAGGGGCUCUGUGCUCGGGGCCCAGCUCUGGCCACCCUGUCUCACGGGCCCCCAUGGUCAGGCAGUCAGGUCUUUCCCUGGCUGCUCACUAUGCAGAACGAAGCCAUCCGCUCUCCUUCCCCACGGUCCUCACACUUUCCACCCAAAUAAGCAGAAGGAAGAAAUACAAGCCUUCUUGAUCUCAGAAUCCCGAAGCUGUUUCCCUGAACAGGGACAGAGUAUGAGCCUUGGGCUGGCUCACCCUGCACCCCAGCACUGGGCUGGGGGCCCUGCAGCCCCUGACCCUGCACUCAGCAGGUGUGAAGUGUUCACCUCCUGAAGAAGGGCUGGAAGCACUGUGGGGGGAGAAUGUGCAUAUUGGGGCUCAAGGGCACCAACCCUACAUUCUGAGGUUUAUACACAAGUAUGGUUUUAGGGCACUAAUCACCUCUCUAAAGAGGAAAAUAAACCACUGUAAAGCUGCUCUGUGUGGGAGACAGAAGUCAUCCCACCUGCGCUCUGGGCUCAUGAGGCCCAGCUGGCCAGCACCCUGGCCCUGAGUGCGGAGGCCAUGAGCCCCGGGAAGAGCCCUGGGGGUGGAAGUUUCCGCAUAGAGCAGGAAGCACGGCACUGGCCUCCCUUCCACUGGGCAGGAAAUCCAGAUUCCCUCUCCUGGCCUGAAGGCCAGGUGCCCCAUGGACUCUCGCGUCCUCCCACAGGGCUCCCGGCACCAGCCUCCCCCAGCGGCUGACCUGCCGGGCGCGCAGUAGCCCCACCAGCCCAGCACGAAGGCUCUUCCCUGUCGCCCCUCAGCUCAGACGUCACCUUGUCAGAGAACCCCCACCUCUUAUCUACCCGACACCAUCACACUGCCCGUAUUAUGGUCUGAUUUCCUCUCUCUGCCGCUUUCUGUUCACUUACAUGCCUUUUAUGUGGC